rnacentral:lncRNA from 1 species
GUAGAAUUCUAUCUACAGCUUAACCAACUUAGUUUUGGAGUUUAAUUCCUUGAAGAAACUGUGUGCUAUUUCAUUAUUUUCCGACUCUUUUUUUGCAGAUCAGCCUUUCGAAAUGUGGAGUACUCCCAGUGCCUGCAGCAGUUGCAUGGACUGGAAGGAAACCCCAGAAGCCCAUAUCUUAAAAUUUGAUCUUCCGGUGUUGCAAAAGAAGAUGUAAAACUCCAGCUGGUUCACGAUGAUUGAGUGCUCCACAUGACUGCUGAAAGAAGAGACGAGAAUUAUGGUGAAAAGGGGGAUUUUAAAUGCCAUUGUAAAGAGCGGAUUGAUGCCAUGGGUAUUUCAAUAGAGAGUUUAGAUUACCAGAAAAUUCAGUUGUUGAUCAAAUAAAUAAAGGCUUCCUUGCGAGAUGGAGUGCUCGUUGUAACAGUGCCUAGAGAUCAGCACAAUAAAAGGAACAAGCCCGUGGAAAUUGCCGGUGAAGGAGAAAAUGCUGGAUCUGGCACAGGAACUGGGCGUUUUGUUUGCUGCAAAGCUUGAUUUGAUUUUGGAUUAUAUGUUCAACAAAUCAGGGUCCCCAAAUUUGUUUGAGUUUUUGAAAUGCUUUGUGCAAUUAAUUGUAGUGUUUUAAUCGCGUAAAUAAAUUUGUCACAAUGAAAGACAAUUGGGUUUGUGAGGGGGUCGGAUGGAUGGG